rnacentral:lncRNA from 12 species
AUCUGAUGCCCAUUAAAAAUGUGGGGUUUGUUUUGGGUUAUUUUUUUCAGUGCCUGACUUGGAAAGUAUUUAAUGGUCAGUAGAAAGAAAUGAGGAAGAGGAGGGUGUGGCUGCCACUGGGAGGCUCUGGCCCUGCAAAGGGUCCCUGGCUUGUAGAGAUGUGGUCCUGCAUCAGCACAAAACAAAGACUUCUUAUAGAAUGCUGGUGGUUGAGCAUUUUCUGGAGAUCUGAGGCUGGAUCGAAAUGGGUAACAGAGGUUCCCUGGAUUUGCCACGGCAGGAGUUGUUGGAGCUGCGGCCCGGCCAGGCAGCUCCGAGAAACCCACAUGUGCCACCCUGUGCCCUCUGGACUUGGCUGGGACUGUGCAUUUUGAGAGCAGGACUUGCUCAGGGUCAGGCCUGGGACCGGAGCUGGGCUCCAUGGCCAGGCUGCUGUUCCAGCCUGGGCAGGGCUGGCCGUGCCAGGCACAGGGCGUGCAGCUCCACGGCUGCCUCACCAGCCGGGAUACCUGGGGCUUAGAACGGAGCCUUUGUCCAUCAUUACCACAGCUGGGCACUGAAAUGCUGCACUUGUGAGUUUAUG